rnacentral:tRNA from 1 species
GCCAACAUAGCUUAAUUGGUAAAGCCGGGCCUCAGGACAGCAUAGCUGCUGGCUUAGUUGUGGGUUCAAGUCCCGCUGUUGGCUA